rnacentral:lncRNA from 1 species
AUGUGCCAACUUCUCGUCAGGUGGCUGAUUUGCUCACUAAGCCGCUUCCGGGUACUUUGCUGGCUCCGCUGCUUUCCAAGUUGCAAGUGGUUCCCCCCUUCCAACUUGAGGGGGGGUGUUGAGAUACAUGAUGUUGUAUCAUAUUGUAAUAUUGUAUACACAAUGUAUCUAUAGUGUAUAGUUGGUAUACAAUUGGGCAAUGAUGAUAAA